rnacentral:misc_RNA from 1 species
UGAACAUUAUGAAGUGGCCAUUCAG